UGCAAGUCGAACGGGAUAAUUUUUGUAGCAAUAUGAAAAUUGUUCAGUGGCGCAAGGGUGAGUAACACGUGGACAAUCUGCCGAAAAGUGGGGGAUAGCUCGCCGAAAGGCGAAUUAAUACCGCAUGUGGCCAGGGAUGACAUCUUCCCAAAGCCAAAGCCGGGGUAACCUGGCGCUUUUUGAUGAGUCCGCGGCCUAUCAGCUUGUUGGCGGGGUAAAAGCCCACCAAGGCUAUGACGGGUAGCUGGUCUGAGAGGACGACCAGUCACACUGGAACUGAGACACGGUCCAGACACCUACGGGUGGCAGCAGUCGAGAAUUUUUCUCAAUGGACGAAAGUCUGAAGGAGCGACGCCGCGUGGAGGAUGAAGGCCCUCGGGUUGUAAACUCCUGUCAUUAGGGAACAAUUGUCAGCGAUUAACUGUCGCGGACUUGAUAGUACCUGAAGAGGAAGGGACGGCUAACUCUGUGCCAGCAGCCGCGGUAAUACAGAGGUCCCAAGCGUUGUUCGGAUUCAUUGGGCGUAAAGGGUGCGUAGGUGGUAAGGCUAAGUCGGAUGUGAAAUCCCAGGGCUCAACCCUGGAACUGCAUUCGAUACUGGUCUGCUUGAGGACUGGAGAGGAGAUGGAAUUCAUGGUGUAGCAGUGAAAUGCGUAGAUAUCAUGAGGAAGACCGGUGGCGAAGGCGAUCUCUGGACAGUUCCUGACACUGAGGCACGAAGGCCAGGGGAGCAA
rnacentral:rRNA from 1 species